rnacentral:rRNA from 1 species
AGAGUUUGAUCCUGGCUCAGGAUGAACGCUAGCGGGAGGCUUAACACAUGCAAGUCGAGGGGCAGCACGAGGUAGCAAUACUUUGGUGGCGACCGGCAGACGGGUGAGUAACGCGUAUGUAACCUACCCUGUACUGGGGGAUAACCCGGAGAAAUUCGGACUAAUACCCCAUAGAAAUAUAGAGAGGCAUCUUGAAAUAUUUAAAGUUUCGACGGUACGGGAUGGGCAUGCGUAACAUUAGCUAGUUGGUAAGGUAACGGCUUACCAAGGCUUUGAUGUUUAGGGGUCCUGAGAGGGUGAUCCCCCACACUGGUACUGAGACACGGACCAGACUCCUACGGGAGGCAGCAGUGAGGAAUAUUGGUCAAUGGGCGAAAGCCUGAACCAGCCAUCCCGCGUGCAGGAAGACGGCCCUAUGGGUUGUAAACUGCUUUUCCAGGAGGAGAAACUCUCGUACGUGAUACGGGAUUGACGGUACCCUGGGAAUAAGCAUCGGCUAACUCCGUGCCAGCAGCCGCGGUAAUACGGAGGAUGCGAGCGUUAUCCGGAUUCAUUGGGUUUAAAGGGUGCGUAGGCGGACUAUUAAGUCAGUGGUGAAAUCCUGCAGCUUAACUGCAGAACUGCCGUUGAUACUGAUAGUCUUGAGUUUGGUUAAGGUAGGCGGAAUGUGUAAUGUAGCGGUGAAAUGCUUAGAUAUUACACAGAACACCGAUUGCGUAGGCAGCUUACUGAGCCGACACUGACGCUGAGGCACGAAAGCGUGGGGAUCGAACAGGAUUAGAUACCCUGGUAGUCCACGCCGUAAACGAUGAUUACUCGCUGUUGGCGAUACACUGUCAGCGGCUAAGCAAAAGCAAUAAGUAAUCCACCUGGGGAGUACGGCCGCAAGGCUGAAACUCAAAGGAAUUGACGG